rnacentral:rRNA from 1 species
ACGAAGGGGGCUAGCGUUGCUCGGAAUUACUGGGCGUAAAGGGCGCGUAGGCGGCGCUGCAAGUCAGGCGUGAAAUUCCUGGGCUUAACCUGGGGGCUGCGCUUGAGACUGUGGUGCUAGAGGAUGGAAGAGGCUCGUGGAAUUCCCAGUGUAGAGGUGAAAUUCGUAGAUAUUGGGAAGAACACCGGUGGCGAAGGCGGCGAGCUGGUCCAUUACUGACGCUGAGGCGCGAUAGCGUGGGGAGCAGACAGGA